UUUGUCAAAUUUGAUGGGUUGGUGUUAGUUUUCUGAUAUUUUACACAUUCAUUGCUACAUUUUUUGGGGACAUUUUAGAGGUAGCAGAUCUUGCCUUGAUUUGUGAGUCUGGAUGUUUGGUAUAUUUUGAUUAAUUUAAUUUAUUGUUUGGGUUCAUAUGCUGAUUUAAUUGGUGUGAUUAGUGCAAUACAUGUAUAACUAUGUAAUCCAGUAGUUUCUUUUUUCUUAUAAUCGUUUCUGUUCUGUGAAUAUCGAUUGUCCAUGUUGAUAUUUUUUGUGCUACCAUAUUUCCAUGUUGAUCGCCUUGGUUAAACAAAUAUCAUCCGCCGCUAGAAGACGGCAGCCUCCCAUCUUUAGAGUUGAGGAAACUUGAAGUUGAAGCAAACGACAUCUUUGCCGUUUAUCGUGACCAGUGAGGUACCAUGAAGGUGGCAUUUCGUCGGUUUAUCUGUGGGAGGAUGAUAACGAAGGUUUUGUAGGCUGUUUUUUAAUCAAGAAAGGUGGGUCCGGAGGAGGAAGGAACAUCUCAUUACCGUUUAACCAGCACUAUCGUACUGUCUUUGACUACUGAUAAUGAGUCAUCAGGCACAUUCAAUUUGUCUGGAUCAAUUAGAUGACAGAUGAAUAUGCACCUCUCAAUUCAAGAAGGGCAUAUUUGUAACAUGGGAAGAAUGAUCGAAGACAUGGAGAGCAAGCUGAGAAAUUCACUCGAACAGUGUUCAGUCUCGAUCUCUCCAACACUCCAACCCUCUCUCGAAUUCGCGGCGCCGCUCCUCCGUCCACCUUCUCUGACACAACUCCAGCCAGCCACAAGCAAGCCACACACAUAGACAAGCACACGCACCCUGCUACUCACUCUCUAACUCCCACGCCCCACCUUUCCACCGUCACUCCCUCGAGCCUCGACUCCCUCGACGGCUACUAUCUAGUAGUGUCUACCAUCGGCGUUGAGUUCGCCACCAAGACUUUCUGGGGUGGGAAAGUCGAACCUGCUUUCCAGGUUCACCAGGAACGAGUUUAAUUCGGAAUCCAAGUCUACCAUUGGCGUCGACGUCGAGUUCGCCACCAAGACUUUGACCGUUGAUUCCAAGCUCAUCAAGGCUCAGAUUUGGGACACUGCUGACCAAGAAAGGCGUCGUGAUCAUAACAGGAAGUCAUUUUAUGGACUGGAAAUUAUGGAUGAAAGGGUGAAUAUUUGCUCGUUCUACUUCAGUUUUUGUGAACCGUAUAGGCAAUUCUACUUUAGCACAAUGGAUUUGAAUUUGAAUCAUUCACCAUUUUGUUGACUUUUUUGGGUAAGUGAUUCAAGAUGGAAGCACAAGCGCUGGGAAAAUGGGAAUUGUUACCAUAAAAUCUGAUUGCGAUGUAAUGUUGUUAUUUUUAGAUGUUGGACGAUGUAAUGUUGUUAUUUUGGAUGUAUUGUUAAUCUAUGAAUUUGGAGUCUUGGACGAUGUAUUGUUAUUUUGGACGAUGUCAUGUAAUAUUGUUAUUUUGGACUCUCGGAAUUUGGAUAUGUUGUUAUUUUGGACA